rnacentral:rRNA from 1 species
CGCGAACGCUGGCGGCAUGGCUAAAGCAUGCAAGUCGAACGUUUAAAGCACCUUCGGGUGUUUAUAGAGUGGCGUAAGGGCGAGUAAUGCGUUUCUACGUACCCCGAGGUCGAGGAUAGUCCAGGGAAACCUGGAGUAAUACUCGAUGUGGUCUUCGGAUCAAAGACUUGUCGCCUCGGGAGCGGGGAACGCCCUAUCAGGUAGUUGGUGAGGUAACGGCUCACCAAGCCGAAGACGGGUAGCGGGUGUGAGAGCAUGGCCCGCCGCAUCGGGACUGAGACACUGCCCGGACUCCUACGGGAGGCUGCAGCAACGAAUCUUCCGCAAUGCGCGAAAGCGUGACGGAGCAAUGCCGCGUGCAGGAUGAAGCCCCUCGGGGUGUAAACUGCUGUCAGGGUUCAGCAACACAAUGAGCAGACCCAAAGGAAGGGCCGGCUAACUUCGUGCCAGCAGCCGCGGUAAUACGAAGGGCCCGAGCGUUGCGCGGAAUUACUGGGCUUAAAGCGUACGUAGGCGGGCGUGCAGGCACUUUGUGAAAUCCCCCGGCUCAACCGGGGAAUAGCUUGGUGAACCGCACGUCUUGAGACAAGUAGAGGCUGUCGGAACGAUAGGUGGAGCGGUGAAAUGCGUUGAUAUCUAUCGGAACGCC